UACGUAGGGGGCAAGCGUUGUCCGGAAUCAUUGGGCGUAAAGCGCGCGUAGGCGGCCAGAUAAGUCCGGUGUGAAAGUCACAGGCUCAACCUGUGAAUGCCGCUGGAAACUGUCUGGCUUGAGACCGGAAGAGGUUAGUGGAACUGCGAGUGUAGAGGUGAAAUUCGUAGAUAUUCGCAAGAACACCAGUGGCGAAGGCGGCUGACUGGUCCGGUUCUGACGCUGAGGCGCGAAAGCGUGGGGAGCAAACAGG
rnacentral:rRNA from 1 species